rnacentral:rRNA from 1 species
GCAUAUCAAUAAGCGGAGGAAAAGAAACCAACAGGGAUUGCCUCAGUAACGGCGAAGUGAAGCGGCAACAGCUCAAAUUUGAAAUCUGGCUCCUUCGGAGUCCGAGUUGUAAUUUGUAGAAGAUGCUUCGGGCGUGGCUCCGGUCUAAGUUCCUUGGAACAGGACGUCAUAGAGGGUGAGAAUCCCGUAUGUGACUGGGUGCCUAUGCCCGUGUGAAGCUCUUUUCGACGAGUCGAGUUGUUUGGGAAUGCAGCUCUAAAUGGGUGGUAAAUUUCAUCUAAAGCUAAAUAUUGGCCAGAGACCGAUAGCGCACAAGUAGAGUGAUCGAAAGAUGAAAAGCACUUUGGAAAGAGAGUUAAAUAGUACGUGAAAUUGUUGAAAGGGAAGCUCUUGCAACCAGACUUGCGCGUCGCUGAUCAUCCGGUGUUCUCACCGGUGCGCUCAGCGGCGCUCAGGCCAGCAUCAGUUUCGGUGGUUGGAUAAAGGCCCUGGGAAUGUGGCUCUCUUCGGGGAGUGUUAUAGCCCAGGGUGCAAUGCAGCCUACCGGGACUGAGGACCGCGCUUCGGCUAGGAUGCUGGCGUAAUGGUUGCAAGCGACCCGUCUUGAAACACGGACCAAGGAGUCUAACAUCUAUGCGAGUGUUUGGGUGUCAAACCCAUGCGCGUAAUGAAAGUGAACGGAGGUGAGAGCCCUUCAGGGUGCAUCAUCGACCGAUCCUGAUGUCUUCGGAUGGAUUUGAGUAAGAGCAUACAUGCUGGGACCCGAAAGUUAGUGAACUAUACUUGAAUAGGGUGAAGCCAGAGGAAACUCUGGUGGAGGCUCGCAGCGGGUUCUGACGUGCAAAUCGAUCGUCAAAUUUGGGUAUAGGGGCGAAAGACUAAUCGAACUACCUAGUAGCUAGAUACAUGACGGAG